rnacentral:rRNA from 1 species
CCUACGGGAGGCAGCAGUGAGGAAUAUUGGUCAAUGGGCGCAAGCCUGAACCAGCCAUGCCGCGUGCAGGAUGACGGUCCUAUGGAUUGUAAACUGCUUUUAUACAGGAAGAAACACUCCCUCGUGAGGGAGCUUGACGGUACUGUAGGAAUAAGGAUCGGCUAACUCCGUGCCAGCAGCCGCGGUAA